GGACGCCAUUUCGUUUCACAAAACAUCGACGCACUUCUUGAUCUCACGUAGGAAGGCAGGCGAACGGUACAGGUUGACGGGUUUUUCUUUUUUGAUCAAAAGAUAAUCCUAGAAAGAAGAUUUAUUUUUUUUAUUCAAUUGCGUAGCACAAUAUAUUUACUGUUAUUAGUCGUUUUUCCUUUUUUUUUUUUUUACCGUUCAUUUGUUUUCACAUUUGGCUCCAGUCUCAAUAGACGUUAUUUUUGUAAUGCUUUUUUAUUUAUCAUUAUCUACCUAGUAAUGACCCUAUUAAGAAGCUAAAAGCGGUUACUGGGUUUUUUUCCUUUUUUUUAUUAACUUGAUUACCAAGCUAACGCCUAGCUUCGUGUGAAAAACGUAGUUUCAGAAAGCUUAAAAUGAACAUUACUUGAUUAUCUUUUGUUUUCUCAGACUAAAUGUUUUUUGUUGAGCUUUCUACAAGAAAUUGGCUUAAGCUGUUGUUUUUCGAGAAAUUGUUUUUUUCAGUUGGGAUUCGUAACUGCUGUAGUCCUAAUAUGGGCGCCGUGACGUAAAAGUUGGCAAAUGGCCGUUGGUUGACUUAUAAUAACGCCGUGACGUAAUGGGCAGAAAGUUGCGGGGAGUGGUCGGGAUGUUUCAAGACGCAUGCCCAACUAUGGCUUUGAGCUGCCGAUUGUUAACGGACAAUAACUCCCCGUUUUUUAAGGUAGCAUAAUCUAAGAAAGCGAGUACUUGCUUUUCUGUGGUGAGCCUUUGAGUUUAACUAUUUUGUCCGACUUAAAUGGCUUAACAUGUCUGUUAAUGUUUCGAAUGCAAUUUUGAACUGCCGGUAAAGUUAAUGAAAAAACAAUUACGGUAGCAUUACUUUAAAAAAACAAAUAGUCGUGUUUAUGUGAUGAGGUUUUGAGAUUUUUUGUCAGAGUUAAACGGGUUAAAAUCUUAACAUCGGUUAAUUUUUUCGAGCUGCGAUACAAUUAACGAAUAAUAACCCCCAUUGUUUACGCUGCAUAACCUAAAAAAAAAAGUAGUUGUGUUUGUGUGGUGAACCUUUUGAUAUUUUUUAUUCGACUUAAACGGCUUAAAAUCCUGACAUAUCAGUUAAUUUUUGCCUGUGGCUAUUUCGAGCUACCGAUUCAAUUAACGAAUAAUAACCCUCCAUUGUUUGCGAUAGUAUAACCUAAGAAAACAAGUAGUUGUGUUUCUGUGGUUAGCCUUUGAGAUUUUUCUGUUUUGCCCAACUUAAAUGGCUUAGUCUUAACAUGUCCGUUAAUUUUUCUAAUGCCUAUGGCAGUGCUGAGCUACCAAUGCAGUUAACAAAUAAUAACCCCCAUUUUUAUGGCAGCAUGACCUAAAAAAACAAGUAGUUGUGUUUCCGUGGCGAGCCUUUGAGAUUUUUCUUUUUUGUCUGGCUUAAAUGGCUUAAACUUAACGUUAUAUCAGUUACUUAUCCAAAUGCCUAUGGCAAUAUAUAUUUGUCUAUAUACAUUGACAUGCAGUUUGGAGAAGACUUAAAGACUUAGAAUUUAUUUUUACCUAUGGAUCGCUACAUUCCUAUUAUAACGCCAUAAAAAAAACAGAAUUGUCUUAAAAAAAGGAAUGCUAACAAGGGCAAACAGAACUAUUUUUUUAUACCGUUGCACUAUAAUCAAGCUGUAUUAUAGUUCGGUGUAUUUUCUUCAAAGAAAACUUUUUUUUCUUUUUUUUAAAAAUGCAGUCAAAUUUGACUCAGAUUUUUUUAUUUUAUUUUUCUCUACUCAAAAAGAAAAAAAAAACAAACAAAUGCCUUGUACAGAAUAAUGGCUAAGUUGUAUUCAUCUUGAGUGGAUGGCAAGUUUAGUUCUCAAUAUAAAAAAAAAAAGUUUUUUUUAGUCAAUUGAAGAAAAACAAAACAUAUUUUUUUUGACUUACAGAAGACAGAAGAUUUUUUUUUUUUUUUUUUUUUUCUGGGCAAAAUGGACUUAGUUAAUGUGGGGAAGAAUGGACUUUGUUAAUCUGAAGAUUCAGGACCAGCGUGGCUGCAGAAUCGUAGGAGACGGGGAGAGGACCAGAGUGGGACCAGGCAGGACAGGACCAGAGACGAGCCAGGCAGGACAAGGCCAGAGGGCGUGAGAGGACCAGAGACGAGCCAGGCAGGACAAGGCCAGAGGGCGUGGAGGCAGGAGCAGAGGGAGGCGAUGCGAUCAGGAGGUCUACAGAGGGCACCAGAAGCACAGGGCAGAGUAGAUGAGAGGCCAGCGCUGCAGCAGCUCCAGAGUGGGAUGGGCACGCAGUCUCUAGCUACAGGAGUGUAAAGCGGGUCAUUGGUUUGUAUUUUGGGCUGAGGUAUCUCUGUAACACUCAGAAGCUUGGUUUCAUUACCACUUUUUAUAAAACUAUUGUAGAACACAAUUUCUCGCACAGCUCUCUCUUCCUCUUUUCAGGCAAGCCGUGUAAAGCGUUUUGUACCGUGGUCACAUCUCCUCUUGCGCUGACAUGAUAUUGGUGGUGUCUGCUGUGAUGAAUGCCUUGGUUGUGUGCUGGCGAGAGGAGCUACUUGUUUGGACUUCAACUCCCUGCGAUCAAUAGUUCUCCCCCCCAACUGGAAGGAAAGGCAACCCAAUGUCGUUUAAUAGGUCUUCUGAGAAGCUUACAGCACUGGAUUGUGAGAGUGGAUGGUCAUCUGUUCAGCCAAUGCGGUGUGUUCUGCAAAACGUCAUUGUCAUCUCCCUGAUUGGUACAGAUAAGCUACAACUACCUCUUAACCCAAGUAGUGAGUCAAUGCAUGGAAUGUACAUGUGGUGUAACAAUCCUGUACAUAAGUAAUUAUCUUUGUAAUAUUUGCGCUCAAAAUGAAAUGGAAUCGUUGUCCUUCGCUUUUAAAAGGGUUUGAAUGGGUUCAGGGGAGGGAGGUGUGGGGUGUUUAAAAUGUGUCUGGAGUUUUUCUUUUACAGGCAUUCGCCCCUAAAGCAGUUCACCAGUUCAACGAAAGCCCCUGGUGGUAGCCACCCCGUACAAGUUGAGCCCAUCUUGCGUACUAUAGUGCUAAGGAUUGGGAUCAUAUGCAACUACCGUGAUUUAACAAGGUGUAGGAAGGUAUUUUGUAUUUAACAAAAUCAAUUCAGUUUCAUCAUUUUCCUGCUUGGACCAUUAUGUUUGAAAUGGGGGGGUACUUUGUUGGGGAGCUUAAUGUGAGGGGGGGUUGUGGGGCGUUAAUCAGUCUCUUCCUAGACUUCACAGCUCCUCAUUUGCCAAUAUAAGAAAGGCUUGAAUAGGAAUCAUCCAGGUGUACCCAACAAGCUUCAAGUGGACACUUUGCCAUGCGGGAUAGCAACUCCACAAAGCUAGUCUCCUGGAUUUAGAGAAGCAGCUUUUGUCCCAGAGAGUGCGGUAACAAGUCUCCUUACUAGAAGUAAUUUUAUUUUUGAUUUGCAGUUGCCUUGUGGGAGGGGGGUUUGUAUCUUUGACUUUUGCAGAUUAAUGUAAAGGCCCAACCGUCACUUAAAUCCACAUUCAAGUCUACAUCUGCUGUUGGAAGGAACUCCCCAGUACGCAGGCCUGUGGUAUUCAAAUACUAUUUGUGGAAAAUGAUCCCAUCCAUCUCUAAAUUGUAUUAAGCCUUUCAGUCGAGGAAGUCCGACAAUUGCUUGGUGUAACAGUAUUUGUCCUGUAGUUUUGUACAUAUUUGUAUUUGGAAGGGUUUGUGGGGAGAAGGCUUUUUUCCUUUGCAUUUUUCAGUGUGCUGUGUCCCGUGUGCUUUCCAAUACCCAAGACCAUCAGGAACUCUCCUAACUCAUUGUUUGUACAAGUUUCCUUGUGCAUCGAGCGUCACGUAAGCUCACUAAAUGUGUUCACAUUUACUUUAACAUUCAUUGUUUGGCUAGAUGCCUCCAUUUGCAAUUCCUUUGCAAUUAGUUGCUGUGCCUUGUAUUGACAAUACGAGUGAACUAUCUGUAAAGGAUUUUAUUUUUGCACAAUAAAUGCAUAGCUUGUUGUGAUUACAGUUUUUGGAAUGCAUUUGUUCUUUUUGGGGGCUUGUGUGGGGGAGCUUUUCUUGUGCUUUUUCAGGUAUGACUAAAGCUUGGUGUAGAGCACGGAUGUGACCUGGGCUCAAAUGAAAGUGGAAAUUGAAGGCAGAUAAGUUGAAUCAUCUAAUGACUUUUGGAAAGAUGAAUAUUCAUCCCAAAGUGGGCAAUCUUAAGUGCACUAUUAGUGCGUUGUUUAUUCUUGCAACGAAAGCAACUUGCUAUACUUGAUUGCAGAAAUAGCACUGUUGUGCUUUCUUGAUAGUCUUGUGAUAAGAGGAAGACACGGACGCUUCAUUGAUUUGACAUUAUCUGCAGUAAAGCAUUUGGGUAAGGAUAACAACAGUCAGUUCUACGAUACUGUGGGGAGGGAGCAGGGAUGUCUUCUCUCUUUUUGAUCUUACAGAAGUCCAAAGGAAGAAUGCAGUCUACCUUGGACAGCUCAGGAAUUUUCCUGCCCUUUGAACAUGACCUACAGGCAGUUUGCUCAGAAAGGGUCAGGUUGAUCUUUGUAGUUUUAAGAAAGUAAUUAGUCCUCAGCUACCAGCCCUUGUGCAACUGUGCAAGAGGCAGGUUAUUCCCAUUUCACUCCAAUGUGCAACUGUGCAAAUUUAACAAAUUGAAGGUGCUGAGGAGAGCUGUGCAUGGUGCAGCUCAUAUUUGGAGUAAAAUGCAGCGCAAAUGUGUUGCUUUAGUACAUGCACAUGUUUUGGUUGCGCGUGUUCCUACACUUUUCUUCACAGAAAUCCAAAUACAAGACAGAAGCACAAGCGAAGUCCUCUAACCUGGAGCAUGUAGUAAGAAGCUGGCUCAUCUUACCCAAUCUUUUGCAAUGUGUAGUAAACCAAACAUCUUGGAACUGGCUUUAUGUUAACCUGAAAUCAUCAGUAACAAUGCUUUACUAGUACAUACCUCUUUGGCCCUGGGGCCUUAUUGCUUUGCAUCUUAAAACCACAUGAGUAGAACACAAAUCUUUGUAUUGUGUCAAAUGUGUGGUGGGUGUGUUGUGUAGAUCACUUUGUUUCAGAUCAUUCUCGUCUGUCCACUCCGAUCUCACCUGCCUCUGAAUGCAAAGUCAUCUGUGGAAGCUGUCAACAAAUGAGUGUGACCCUCUGAAUGAAGCACCGACCCCUCCCUGUUCGCUUGAGCUUAAAUCUGAACCCUGGCGUCCUUUGCAGAAGCCCUGCUCUUUUUGUGUUUGUGUGCCUUUUCUUUCCCUCUGGUUUCUCAGGUCAAAUUGCCAAAUUUCUAAAUUUCCUCUGGGAUGGCCUAACCUGUGAUGGACACUGAGAAUCCUGUCAUAUUAAGAUCGAGAACUGCAAGCUUGUUUCUAAUACUGCAUCUCUUCAGUCUCGUGGGUGCUAAGUUAAGUAAUUUUGGUUCCCUAGAUUUUCUUUUCCCCCUCAUUGCUUAAAUGUGUAACUCAACAUGUUGCAUGCAAGUCGGCUCUGCAUAACAUUUAAUUUGCACAACGCAACAUAAUUUUCAUUGAAUCGUUGUCAAACGUUUCAGUAGUUACCGGUAAGGGGUGUUUUGGGGGGGUGCAACGCUAUUCUCUUUUUUUCCCUUCCAGAUUUCUUGUUCAGCUAAACUUGCUACUGAGUCGAGCAGAGUAACAGGAUGACUUGAGUUCAGCCAGCCUCUAGGGAUCAAACUUAAAUAUGUGGAAGAAUUCAACACCAUUACGUACCGAUGUGGUAAACCCUAUUUGGCAUAACCAUAGUCUGGGGUUAAUAUGGGGGGGAGGGAAGGGGGUUCCUUAAACUGUGUUUCUUUUUUAUCCCAUUACAGCUUUAGAAGCAUUCUUUUGGUCAUCAAGUCCUGCCACAUUGCAAAUGGGAAUGGCUUUGAGUAUGAACAGGAAUCCUGGUAUCGUGGCUUUGUUUAUAUGGCUAUAAAUGGAAAUCAUGGAAUAAGUCAAAUACAAUAUUGUGGGAAACUUCUGGGAUUGGGGAAACAUUCUGUCUUCUAGUUUCAGCCUCAUGAUCAAGAGAAAAGUCCGUGGUCAACAGGAUUAGAGCAGCGAUGCUGAGAGGGCUUUCUUUUCCUGGAGGAACAAAUCUUUGUUCCUCCAGGUUUUGCUUUUGCCCAAGUUAUAGCAAGCACAAAAAAGCAAAAGACUCCGGUGGUGGCACUCCUGACCUGGUCGGGACGGGGUUCAAAUCCCUGCGGUGUCUUGCUUUUAGUUUGCUGCUUGAGUAAAGCUGCUCAGUGGGAAGUGACCAACAGAUGUUUAACAUCUGGUUCAGUGUGGCAGGCAUAGGACUGACAGGAUAUAAUGUUAGGUGAGAUUAGGUUAGGCAUAGAUCAAUAGCUUCACUUCAAUGUCAGUUUAAAUUUUAAUGAUGGUGUUGGUUACAGGUGUUUUUCUAAACUUAAACAUUUCAGUGAGAAACAUGGGGGGAGAACAUUUGACCAUAAACCAGGCAUGAUCAGAGGAAAGAUUCCCACAGGAGCAAUGGCACAACAGAGAGCUUCAGAAAACAUGGAAUUUGAAGGGCAGUACACCUCGGAGAUUUCUGUUAUUCAACUGAAGGAUGUGAGAAUGGAUGGUUGUUGCAGGACAUAACUGAAGAGAAUUAAGGCAACAUCCCCAAACACUUCAGUAAGAAAACUUUCAAAUGAUGUCAGAGAAAGAAGAUGGAGCUGCUAGGACAACCUGUCGACCUGCGAGUCUAAUUGGAAAUCAUUGGCAGGGCCAGAGGAUCAGACCGUACCGAGGCCCCCAGUACCUUUACAGAUGUGAAGACGAUUUGUUUUGAAGUUUUCCAUACAGGAGACAUCUUGAAGCAGAUACUAACGAAACAGCUUUUCCACUAUGUAUUGAGUCAAUUUUAAUAAGUGUCUUCAAUAUACCGUCUCCUCCCUCCUAAGUUCAUAUAAUCUCUUUUGAUUGUUGAUUUUUUUGAGAUGUUAAAAAUGUUAUGUUUGAAUUUCACAUCAACUGGGCCAUUAGAACAUUCAAUGCUUAUUUUCCUAUGUGGAAAAAAAGGUAAGAAAAAUGCUACUAUAAUGCAGGAGAAGUAUUACACAUGAGGUAAUGCAAGGAAUGGAAAAAUGGAAGAAAAAAAUCCCUAUGUGACUAAAAUGCUGCUGUUUGCUAUAUUGUGAAAAAAUUAUCUGUGCUCAUUAAAGACAUGCAAAUUUUUUGCACCUGAAUGAAAAUAAAACUAUAUUUUGUUUGGGGCUAAAAUAUGGCCAAAUUGUCUUCAUCUACUCAGUCCUGUAGAUCUGUGAUGAAAAAUUUGGGCGUAAUGAUUGACGAGUGUCAUUUAUAUUUAUAAAUUUGACAAACCCGUUGAUUUUGUUUGUUUGUUUUUUUAAUUGUGGAACAUAAAUUACCUAUUUUGUUUAAAAUUAUGAUAAAAUGUAUUUAUUUAGAACUGCUUUUAUCACAUUGUAGCACUGUGACGCUUGUAUGUUUCUUCUUUUUCUCUGUUCUUAUUUUAUUCUUUAUAACUGCCCUAAUGGAAAGCACUGUGGUUUAGAAAUCAUUGUUGUAAAACGCUAUAGAAAUACAAUUUUAUUGUGAGCAAAAUGCUUGUUUUUCGUUUCAUAUAUCAUUGUUAUAUUUUCUCCUGUAAAACAGACUUAUUUUUUUAAAAAUUAAAAUGUUUUGUAUAUAUUAAAUGUCAUCUGUCCUUCUA